rnacentral:lncRNA from 1 species
GUAAUGGUUUAUUAGUGCUAAUUUAUUUACAAUGUGUUUACAAUAUUUGGAUAUAAAAAUGUUAUAUAUUCUAUUUAUUUACAUAUCAUUCAUUAAUUAAAUAUAUAUAGGAUAUUAGACGGUUGCGAAGAGAUAUGGAUUUUAUAUUGAAGUGGCAAAAACAAUAUCUCACAAGUGAGCACAGGUGAAUGAGUGAGAUAUUGUUUUUGACACAAGAACAUAAACAGAGACGGAUUUUCGUAUUUUCGUUCGAGGGGGGUGGAUAAAUAUCUGGGGGGGGGGGGGUUCUGAUUAACAAAAUUUGUGUUCUAGGCCUGCAUGGCGAGAUCUGAGACCAUAAUAUUGGUAAUUUUACAAAUUUAGUAGCAAGAAUAAUCAAAUAUGAAACUAUCAAAUCAAAAUAUAUGUAAUUUGCGGGGAUGCCAAAUGCCUUUGGGGGGGGGGUGCAAAUCAUUUCUGGGGGGGGUGCCCCCCCCAGAAAAUCCGUGCCUGAACAUAAAUCCAUAUCUUCCCGCAACCAUUUAAGUUCUGUUUAUUAUAUGGACUUACUCAGUGUGACAAAAAUACACACAAAGACGACAUGUAAAUAAGCACGCGAAAGAAGCGUUAUUUUUUUAAAAUUAUAGUGCAAACAUAAAACUAGAAUAAAUUUUACUUAUCUCAAGAUGUCUUUUAAAUGUUUUCGUUUUAUUUCCAACGUUAAUUUCGUUUUAAAUACGAAGAUUACGAACCAAAGACCAUUUGUAUUUUCAAAACAACAAUGACAAAGGCGGGAAAUGUUAUGUACAUACGGAAAAUAUGCCACUCAACUCCUGGAUGUAGUGGCGUAUGAUUAAUACGAAUGUUUUAGUUCACAAUACCCAUAUCCAUAUAAUAAAAAGUCUUGCUAAUCUAUGUCUAUUUACGUUAUGUAUAAAAACUACUAAUGCAUACCUAUUUGUACAUUAUCCAACUGAUAAAAUUUUUUAAAAAAAACAUGAUUCUAAUCAACCAAUCAUAGGCUUGUGCAAUUUAAGAAUUUUCCAAAAAUAUCCUGUGUCACCUUUCAAUUUUACAAAAUAUUCCAAUUCAUGUUUUUAUCAUCAUUUGAAAGUAAUUGUUUUGAUUUCUAGUUGUAGACUUAUAGUUAUAAUUGUAACGAAAGGUGGUUGGAUCAAGCAGCAAUAAUCAUCUUAGCUAUGCUUCAAGCCUAGUGACUUAUUUCAGUGCAUGAAAAUCGUCCCACCUUUCAUCCUGUCCUGACAAACUGGGAUCAUGUAAACAGCACAUUUAGCCAUUAAAUUGAUUUGCACCCUAAUUUACCUACUUAUAUUAUUUAACUCUGUCUAAUGUCAGACAAUUUUAUUAAGCAGGGGGCACACUGGCAGUUAAUGGGUAACUAGACACAUGGGCAUUCUGAUUAUGAAGCGUAAAAUUGUCUGACGUUGGACAGUAAAAUACUCAAGUAGAGCAUGCAUCAGGUUUAAUUUUUAUAUCUGAAUUAAUUAUUGAUUUUUUGCUUUGUUUUACAGAUCAUUACUGAACAUGCUGAUGAAUUGUGACUACUAAAUGGAUACAAAGAGACUGUGGUGGAUAAAUAUGGCCCCGUAAUGGAUAUUCAGUUGAUGGAUAUACAAAGGUCACAGAAAUGUCUACUUUCAGGUACUGUUCUUUCUUGUUUGCCUGCGAACAGGCUGUAGAUACUUGUACCCAGGCCAUUGUUUGUUUUGUUGUUCUGGCUACAAUGAAAUCCGGCAUAAAUCCUGGCGGUCUAAAUGUUCAGUAUAUUUACACAUUCGAUCUAUUGAUAGCCUGAACGAAAGUUUUAUAACGAUGAUUUUCUUUGCAAAAACUGUACUUUCGAAAUUCAUCAGCUUCUGAAUUUGAAAAAGGAUCUGAAAAGAGAGAACAUUCUAAUGAUUCGUUUAUGUUACCAUUGUUUCCCUCUGUGUAAAUAUACUGUCUUGGUGCAAACGCAUUACAAAUGCAGCAACGCAACAGUUUAGACAGGGUCAUGAGGCAGGAUGUGUACAAGAAAAGCUUUGCCAGAGUUUUGAACGACGAUUGGAAAUUGCUGUUUGAUUCUUUGUCGUCGGUACUCCCCUGGAAUUUCCGCAAAUUUUCAUGUAAAAUUUAACCCCCUCCCAUGGAAUUUCCUUGUAAAAAUUACCCUUGCCCAUGGAAUUUCCGUUUUAAAUUAGGCCUUCCCCAUGGAAUUUCCAUUCAAAAUUUGGCCGUGUCCAUGGAAUUUCCAUGUGUAAAUUACCCCUCCCUAUGGAAUUUCCAUCAUGGACAUUUACUCCUGGAAAUUUCCGUCUAAUAUAUAUGUCCUCCCAUGGAAUUUCCAUCCAUUAAAUUUACUCCUCCCUCUGGAAAUUCCAUGUGAGAAUUAGUCCUCCCCUGGAAUUCCAGAGCCUGAAGUCCCCUUCCCUGGAAAUUCCAGGGUUAAUGCACCCCCUCCCCUGGAAAUUCCAAGGUUAAUGUUCCCCUCGCCUGAAAAUUUGAAAGUUAGUGCACCCUCUCCCCUGGAAAUUCCAAGGUUCCUGAACAGGGGGGGGGGGGUGCAGAUAAUAAUUGGAAUAGCCCAAUAUCUUAUCGCUCGUUAGUAAAAAAGAAAUUUGUCACUUUCCUUAUGUAAACCUUUUUCAAAAAACUGGCAUCGUUUGUCUUGGGUUUAGGGGGUACAAAUGGUACCCAUAGCUUAGAGGGUGCAAAUGGUACCCGUAAGAAGACUUGGUGGAAAUCAUGUUGGUCGUUUGGAUUGGCGAGAAUAAGACAAUUAUGGUGGCAAAGUUUUUUAAAACAUUUUCUCUCCCGUAGUAAGGUAAAGCAUGCAUUUUCCUGGUAGCCGGUCUUACUUCAUGAAAAAACAGUCCGCUACCAAGUGACUAGGUCCCCUCUCUUAUGGCGGUCAUUGCGGUUCAAUACCUUCAGAGAUAUUCCUUUUCAGGGCGGUUGCAUGCGGAUAAUAUAGUCCGUCGCGUGCGCAAAACAGUUAGGGAGAUAGACAGUUUAGAGGCGUCGAGACUGCGCAAUAUAUACUCGCACGAAACGUUGCCAUUUUGCAAUUUGAAUCUGGGUUUUGCGUUUCUGACAAAGCCUUCAGAUUCAAGUUGUUACUACAUUUACAACACAUUAAGUGUAAAUACGGCAUUUCUAAUGAAAAGACCGCCAGGGGUAGAGUGUUUUUAUGUUGGUUUGUUAAGGAGCAAACUCGCUUUUGAAAAAAUAAAUAUGUAUUAAUUUCGAUCCAGAUUUGUUCCUGAACACCCUCGCCAGGAAAACACUCUGUAUGUUAAUAAGUUGCUAUGCUGGGGUUGCGUACAAUCGGUACGCACACGAUGUGUGUCAAUUUUAAAUGAAUAACUAAUAUGUAUAAAUACGGCGUGCACACGGAUUUUUUUUCGCACGAUGUUCUGGUUUUAACUUCGGGGAAAAUAAUAAAAAAGCAGUGUCCGUGGUCGGGGCUGAAUAGUACUGUGGAAGAUUGGGUUGGAAAAUUUGCAAUUAAGUCUGUAUUUUUGGGCAAUUGUUACUUUUCGAAAAAUAGUAUCCUACUGAUGUAAAAUAACAUUUAAAGGGUUUGGCAACAAUGAUGUCCGAAGAGGAUGUUCGCCCUAAACUUUAUUUCAUGAAAUGAUUUAUCUUUGUAUAUACUCAAGACAUUUAAAAAAAAUUCGAGUAAAAGUUUAAUAAAAAUUGAUAUCAAUUGAAACUCAUUCUGGCUCAAAUUUUAUUUCAUCAAAUGAUUUCUCUCAGAAUACUCAAUUACAUGACAAUUCAAAAGAAUAUUUAAAGUGAAAAGUUUAAUAACAUUAAUAAAAAAAAAAUGACUUUGGGUCAAAUUUUAUGCCUACUCGUAUGGUUGUGUCCACAUAAGCCUUGGGUAUUAUAUUAGAAAUACGACGUUUUCGAAUCCAAUAUGAUUGAUACGGCAGGCCUUCUACUCUGGAGAUAAAUUGGAACAGAA